AAUAGAUACCCGGGUAGUCCACGCCGUAAACGAUGAGUGCUAAGUGUUAGGGGGUUUCCGCCCCUUAGUGCUGCAGCUAACGCAUUAAGCACUCCGCCUGGGGAGUACGGUCGCAAGACUGAAACUCAAAGGAAUUGACGGGGGCCCGCACAAGCGGUGGAGCAUGUGGUUUAAUUCGAAGCAACGCGAAGAACCUUACCAGGUCUUGACAUCCCAUUGGCCACUAUGGAGACAUAGUUUUCCCUUCGGGGACAACGGUGACAGGUGGUGCAUGGUUGUCGUCAGCUCGUGUCGUGAGAUGUUGGGUUAAGUCCCGCAACGAGCGCAACCCUUGUUCUUAGUUGCCAUCAUUUAGUUGGGCACUCUAAGGAGACUGCCGGUGACAAACCGGAGGAAGGUGGGGAUGACGUCAAAUCAUCAUGCCCUUUAUGACCUGGGCUACACACGUGCUACAAUGGACGGUACAAACGGUUGCCAACCCGCGAGGGGGAGCUAAUCCGAUAAAACCGUUCUCAGUUCGGAUUGUAGGCUGCAACUCGCCUACAUGAAGCC
rnacentral:rRNA from 1 species